GACGAACGCUGGCGGCGUGCUUAACACAUGCAAGUCGAACGGUGAAGCGCCUUCCUUUUUGGUGGGUGUGGAUGAGUGGCGAACGGGUGAGUAACACGUGAGUAACCUGCCCCCUUCUUCUGGAUAACCGCAUGAAAGUGUGGCUAGUACGGGAUAUUCUGGGUCUGUCGCAUGAUGGGUCUGGGAAAGAUAUUGUUUCGGUGGGGGAUGGGCUCGCGGCCUAUCAGCUUGUUGGUGGGGUGAUGGCCUACCAAGGCGGUGACGGGUAGCCGGCCUGAGAGGGUGGACGGUCACACUGGGACUGAGACACGGCCCAGACUACUACGGGAGGCAGCAGUGGGGAAUAUUGCACAAUGGGAGCAAGCCUGAUGCAGCGACGCCGCGUGAGGGAUGGAGGCCUUCGGGUUGUGAACCUCUUUCGCCAGUGAAGCAGGCCUGCCUCGUUUGUGGGUGGGUUGACGGUAGCUGGAUAAGAAGCGCCGGCUAACUACGUG
rnacentral:rRNA from 1 species